rnacentral:piRNA from 1 species
UAUUUCACUUAGGAUAAGGUCUUCACGGU